rnacentral:rRNA from 1 species
AGUGAACGCUGGCGGCAUGCCUUACACAUGCAAGUCGAACGGUAACAGGUCUUCGGAUGCUGACGAGUGGCGAACGGGUGAGCAAUACAUCGGAACGUGCCUAGUAGUGGGGGAUAACUACUCGAAAGAGUGGCUAAUACCGCAUGAGAUCUACGGAUGAAAGCAGGGGAUCGCAAGACCUUGUGCUACUAGAGCGGCCGAUGGCAGAUUAGGUAGUUGGUGGGAUAAAAGCUUACCAAGCCGACGAUCUGUAGCUGGUCUGAGAGGACGAUCAGCCACACUGGGACUGAGGCACGGCCCAGACUCCUACGGGAGGGAGCAGUGGGGAAUUUUGGACAAUGGGCGAAAGCCUGAUCCAGCAAUGCCGCGUGCAGGAUGAAGGCCUUCGGGUUGUAAACUGCUUUUGUACGGAACGAAAAGCCCGGGUUAAUACCCUGGGGUCAUGACGGUACCGUAAGAAUAAGCACCGGCUAACUACGUGCCAGCCGCCGCGGUAA